CCUGUCGCUGAGGUGCAGCGGUGUCCUAUGUCGUGAGGACCAGAGGUAACAGGCUGAGGUGAAGAGAGUGAGAAGACCUGCGCAGGGUUAACUUUCCUCUGACUGAUAGUGAAGAGCUGAUGACGCGUGGAACAUUUACCUUUGCUCUGCCAAAAAGACUGGACACGAACGGCCAGAGAGAGAGGGAAGUGAGGCCAACUGUCAGCAUGGCGCGAUGAAAGAAGCUCACCACCUGGGGGCAGCAAAGAGUGUGCCCUGACCUGUCUGAGGAGGCUGGGAUUUCUGUCCAGGCUGGCAUGAGUCUUCAGUAUGACCAGGACAACAUAUGAGGUCCAGCCGACAAAUCCAAACACCACACUGCAACCCAGGAAGAACCUGUCGUAGUUGUGGUAGUAGACGAGGCCCUCCAGAGAACGAGAUAUCAGAGCCUGGCACAGAGAGAUCUGGAAGGGACACGUGAAGGGACACAGGGCGCUUCAGCAAAAGUGAAUGAUGUAUGGAGAUAGUGGAAAGAAGAUUAAUAUAUACAGGAAUGUAAAGUAGCCGAUCAAAUCAGAAGGAAAACAACACCAUGCAAGCAAGGCAGACACAGUGUAGGUUUGUUGAUCUAGGCAGGAUUUAUCGCAGUUAAGCUGGUUCCAUUAAUGUCAGGCAGUGUCAGCGAGGUGUUACUCACCUGUUUGUUUUACUUUGCAACAGAGUGGACUAAUGCACCUUUAGUGUAAUGUCAACACCAUGUUUCAACACGAGCUUAAUGUAUUAAAUGACCCAGGAUUAAUCUAUAAUUCACUGAUUUCUAAAUACUCACAGCGUCUUCAUACUUCUCCAGCUGAAUCAGUAUUCUGGCCUUGUGUGUAAAUUCUGCUUGUUUUGACUCAGUUAGAGGCCUGGGAAAACAGUGAGGCAGAAAGAUUGAAGUGUGUUUGUGGUGCCUUGAAUUUAAAUGGAGUCUUACAUGUGUUGUGAUGUCUUUUUUUUUUCUUUCAUAUUUAACAAAAACAACACAUUCAAAACAUUGCAUUUUUUUCUGCUUAAAUGUUGCAAAUGCCACAAACAGAAUCCCCGAUCAAGAAACCUUUUUAUUAGAGUUCUCAAUGAAGAAAAUCCUCAAACCAUGCAAACACAUGAUGAGAAUGGAAAUGGAUCCUUUAAAAAGACUGAACACACAGCAAAAA